GACGAACGCUGGCGGCGUGCUUAACACAUGCAAGUCGAACGAAGAGCGACGGAAGCUUGCUUCUAUCAAUCUUAGUGGCGACCGGGUGAGUCACGCGUAAUCAACCUGCCCUUCAGAGGGGGACAACAGUUGGAAACGACUGCUAAUACCGCAUACGAUCUAACCUCGGCAUCGAGGAUAGAUGAAAGGUGGCCUCUACAUGUAAGCUAUCACUGAAGGAGGAGAUUGCGUCUGAUUAGCUAGUUGGAGGGGUAACGGCCAACCAAGGCGAUGAUCAGUAGCCGGUCAGAGAGGAUGAGCGGCCACAUUGGGACUGGGACACGGCCCAGACUCCUACGGGAGGCAGCAGUGGGGGAGCUUCCGAAAGGGACGAAAGUCUGACGGAGAAACGCCGCGUGAGUGAUGACGGCCUUCGGGUUGUAAAGCUCUGUUAAUCGGGACGAAAGGCCUUCUUGCGAAUAGUGAGAAGGAUUGACGGUACCGGAAUAGAAAGCCACGGCUAACUACGUG
rnacentral:rRNA from 1 species